CUUGGCAGGGUGCAAUGUGGUGUUCGGGAGGGGCCAUUCACGCCUUGAGCUCUGAUGUCCAAGUCCCCCUGACCGGGGCCAUCGCCCGUUGAGGGUGCAAGGCCUGUUGGGCAGGGCUGUGUCUCCGAUCUCGGCGUGUCAGGUCCCUUCCUUGGAGUCGGGUUGCUUGAGAGUGCAGCCCAAAGUGGGUGGUAAACUCCACCUAAGGCUAAAUACUUGCCACGAGACCGAUAGCAAACAAGUACCGUGAGGGAAAGUUGCAAAGAACUUUGAAGAGAGAGUUCAAGAGUGCGUGAAACCGUUUGGAGGUAAACGGGUGGGAGCGCGAAGGUCGAACGGAUGGGGAGGGAUUCAACUUGGCGCGGCGGCUGGCCGGGCUGGGUGGCGUCAGAGCGGCACGUCCUCCUUAACGGGGGGGCUGAUGCUGUUCCGCCUGCCUGCCUGCUGCCGAGUCCGCCGUGCCUUGUGCAUUUCCCUGUACCCCCUCUCCUAGUAGGACGCCGCGACCGGCUGUCGAGGAGAGCCCAUGAGCUGGUUGGAGCAGCUGCGCGGACGAGUAAGGGAUAAGUUCUCUGCGUCCGGUCUGUCUGUCUCCUUCCGACCGCGGGUCGCUCUCUCCGGCCGAGGAACUGUGCGAGCUGGGUCCUCGUGAUCCCUCGUCCACGGACGUGCCCACGAUCUGUCGGUGCGGGUCAACUGAACCCAACGGGUGGCGGUGAGCGUCUGCGCGCCGGUCUCAGGAUCGCGCGUGCGGGCGCCCUACGUCAGCCGCCGUCGGUCAGGGUGCGGACUCCCGCAUGGGGCGCUGGGGGUCAGCGGCGAGUAGGUCGGUUUCCCACCCGACCCGUCUUGAAACACGGACCAAGAAGUCUAACGUGUGGGCGAGUCUUCGGGGCUUACAACCCUUUAAAGGCGCAAUUAAAGUGAAGGCUGAGCCGGACCUCUCGGGGUCUGGUUCGCCCUGGUGGGAUCCCUCGUCUCUUGGCGGGGGCGCACCACCGGCCCGUCCUA
rnacentral:rRNA from 1 species